GCUAGUGUGGCGCAGCCGGUAGCGCAAUUGAUUCGUAAUCAAUAGGUCGUCGGUUCGAAUCCGAUCACUAGCU
rnacentral:tRNA from 1 species